AGCUCCAAUAGCGUAUAUUAAAGUUGUUGCGGUUAAAAAGCUCGUAGUUGGAUUUCUGUUAGGGACGUCCGGUCCGCAUUAUGUGCGUGUAUCUGGCUCGGCCUUGGCAUCCUCCAGGGGAACACGAUGCGCUUCGCUGCGUGACGUGGUAUUCUGGACUUUUACUUUGAGGAAAUUAGAGUGUUCACGGCAGGCAGUCGCCUUGAAUAUAUUAGCAUGGAAUAAUAAUAUAGGACCUUUGUUCUAUCUUGUUGGUUUCUAGAAUUUAGGUAAUGAUUAAUAGGGACAAUUGGGGGCACUUGUAUUAACGCGUCAGAGGUGGAAUUCUUGGAUUGCGUUACGACAAACUACUGCGAAAGCAUUUGCCAAAGAUGUUUUCA
rnacentral:rRNA from 1 species